rnacentral:rRNA from 1 species
CUUGCUUCUCUUGAGAGCGGCGGACGGGUGAGUAAUGCCUAGGAAUCUGCCUGGUAGUGGGGGAUAACGUUCGGAAACGGACGCUAAUACCGCAUACGUCCUACGGGAGAAAGCAGGGGACCUUCGGGCCUUGCGCUAUCAGAUGAGCCUAGGUCGGAUUAGCUAGUUGGUGGGGUAAUGGCUCACCAAGGCGACGAUCCGUAACUGGUCUGAGAGGAUGAUCAGUCACACUGGAACUGAGACACGGUCCAGACUCCUACGGGAGGCAGCAGUGGGGAAUAUUGGACAAUGGGCGAAAGCCUGAUCCAGCCAUGCCGCGUGUGUGAAGAAGGUCUUCGGAUUGUAAAGCACUUUAAGUUGGGAGGAAGGGUUGUAGAUUAAUACUCUGCAAUUUUGACGUUACCGACAGAAUAAGCACCGGCUAACUCUGUGCCAGCAGCCGCGGUAAUACAGAGGGUGCAAGCGUUAAUCGGAAUUACUGGGCGUAAAGCGCGCGUAGGUGGUUUGUUAAGUUGGAUGUGAAAUCCCCGGGCUCAACCUGGGAACUGCAUUCAAAACUGACUGACUAGAGUAUGGUAGAGGAUGGUGGAAUUUCCUGUGUAGCGGUGAAAUGCGUAGAUAUAGGAAGGAACACCAGUGGCGAA